AUUUCAGGGUAGCAAUAUUCUGAGGUCGGAGCGGCGCAAGGGUGCGUAACACGUGGGUAAUCUGCCAUGAAGUUCGGGAUAACUUGCUGAAAGGCGAGCUAAUACCGGAUGUGACAACCGAAAGGCAUCUUUUGGUUGUUAAAGUUGGGGACCGUAAGGCCUGACGCUUCUUGAUGAACCCGCGGCCUAUCAGCUAGUUGGUGAGGUAACGGCCCACCAAGGCUAAGACGGGUAGCUGGUCUGAGAGGACGACCAGCCACACUGGAACUGAGACACGGUCCAGACACCUACGGGUGGCAGCAGUCGAGAAUUUUUCACAAUGGGCGCAAGCCUGAUGGAGCGACGCCGCGUGGGGGAUGAAUGGCUUCGGCCCGUAAACCCCUGUCAUUCGCGAUCAAACGUUAUUAUUUAAAAGAUGAUGACCUGAUAGUAGCGGAAGAGGAAGGGACGGCUAACUCUGUGCCAGCAGCCGCGGUAAUACAGAGGUCCCAAGCGUUGUUCGGAUUCACUGGGCGUAAAGGGUGCGUAGGUGGUGAGGUAAGUCGGAUGUGAAAGCUCGGAGCUCAACUCCGAAAUGGCAUUGGAAACUACCUUGCUCGAGGGUUGGAGGGGGGACUGGAAUACUUGGUGUAGCAGUGAAAUGCGUAGAUAUCAAGUGGAACACCAGUGGCGAAGGCGAGUCCCUGGACAACUCCUGACACUGAGGCACGAAAGCUAGGGGAGCAAACAGGAUUANAUACCCUGGUAGUCCUAGCCNUAAACGGUGCACGUUUGCUGUAAAA
rnacentral:rRNA from 1 species